rnacentral:rRNA from 1 species
UACGUAGGUGACCAGCGUUGUCCGGAUUUACUGGGCGUAAAGAGCGCGCAGGCGGUCGUUCAAGUCGCGUGUGAAAGCCCCCGGCUCAACUGGGGAGGGUCAUUCGAUACUGAUCGACUCGAAGGCAGGAGAGGGAAGCGGAAUUCCCGGUGUAGUGGUGAAAUGCGUAGAUAUCGGGAGGAACACCAGUGGCGAAGGCGACUUCCUGGCCUGUUCUUGACGCUGAGGCGCGAAAGCUAGGGGAGCAAACGGG